UACAGAGGCCUCGAGCGUUAGGCGGAAUCACUGGGCUUAAAGCGUGUGUAGGCGGAUCGUUAAGUACCUUGUGAAAUCCCACGGCUUAACCGUGGAACUGCUUGGUAUACUGGCGAUCUUGUGCCACCUAGGGGCGAGCGGAACAGAUGGUGGAGCGGUGAAAUGCGUAGAUAUCAUUUGGAACGCCAAUGGUGAAAACAGCUCGCUGGGGGUUUGCUGACGCUGAGACACGAAAGCCAGGGGAGCAAACGGG
rnacentral:rRNA from 1 species